UCAGGUGGGGAGGGGGUUCAGAAGGAGGUAGAGGAAGUUUGGAAAUGUGUCUCAUACAUUUGUUUUUCUCAUUUUCCCCUAGGUUUGCAUGCUAGCUUUCUAGUUGAAAAUCGGUGCAUCACUGACAUUGAACUGGUGGGUUCCUGACACUGUCUGGAAUCCAUUCUUACCAGUUUGGUUAGACUGACUACUUUCACAGCUGCAGGUGCCAGCUCUCCCUUCAGUUGUGGCUCAAGCCAGUCCAAAGGAAUCUGCUUUCUUCUUUUCUUCAGUCAACAGGAGUGACUAAAUAUCCACUGUCAAACAAGCUGACCAUUUUCUGAGGAUCAUCACUAUACGAUGGAUUAUGGCUUUUCCAAUUCAUCAAAUCUGAAGUGGGUUAUAGCUAUAAGUUGACCAGCUGGCUAGCAGUUUCCCCAAAGGACUAUCAGAUUGAAUCAAGGAAGUGCUUUCCAUGAUUGAGUAACAGUGUACACCAAUCUCAAUAAACAGAAAUACCGUUGACCAGCAAAUGCAAGCCAAACAGAAACGAGAAACCAAAACUGAAACACAACUGUCUUUUAAAUUCCGCUAAGCUUGUGACCAGGUCCAAGUGACCAAGCCUUUUAAGAGAAGGAGUGUCCCAAGACUGGGAAUCUCCCCAAAUGGGCAAGGUCAAGGAGGCCCAGGAGUGCAUUUCUGGGAACAUACCUAGGUCUGGUAGAAGGAAUCACAACCGCUCAGAUACUGUUCUUCCCCAAUGGGGAUUUUUUCCCCCCAUCCAGCAGAAAUUUUGGAGCAGUCCCAGUGGGUGGAGGGAGAGGGAAGGUCCCCAAGGCAAAGGGGGCCUUGACAGCUGCUGGGGCCUUCCUCUUUCCCUGACUUUUAGCCUCAUCUUGGAGUUUGGGCCAACAGGACAGCAAGUCAGGGCCCCCCUUCCAGGAGGCAGAGCCUACAAGUGAGUUCCCCCCUGGAGAUCUGGCCUCCUAAGUGACCCCCAAGCCUCCACACUCCCAAGGGAGGCUGGCAUGGAGG